rnacentral:rRNA from 1 species
CCUACGGGUGGCAGCAGUGAGGAAUAUUGGUCAAUGGUCGCGAGCCUGAACCAGCCAAGCAGCGUGAAGGAUGAAGGCCCUACGGGUUGUAAACUUCUUUUGUCAAGGAAUAAAGUCGGGCACGUGUCCCUUUUUGCAUGUACUUUAUGAAUAAGGAUCGGCUAACUCCGUGCCAGCAGCCGCGGUAAUACGGAGGAUGCGAGCGUUAUCCGGAUUUAUUGGGUUUAAAGGGAGCGCAGAUGGGGUGUUAAGUCAGUUGUGAAAGUUUGCGGGUCAACCGUAAAAUUGCAGUUGAUACUGGCAGGCUUGAGUGCGGUUGAGGUAGGCGGAAUUGGUGGUGUAGCGGUGAAAUGCUUAGAUAUCACGAAGAACUCCGAUUGCGAAGGCAGCCUAC